UGGGGAAUCUUGCGCAAUGGGCGAAAGCCUGACGCAGCGACGCCGCGUGCGGGAAGAAGGCCUUCGGGUUGUAAACCGCUUUCAGGAGGGACGAAGCUACUCGGGUUUAAUAGCCCAGAGGGUGACGGUACCUUCAGAAGAAGCCCCGGCUAACUACGUGCCAGCAGCCGCGGUAAUACGUAGGGGGCAAGCGUUGUCCGGAUUUAUUGGGCGUAAAGCGCGUGUAGGCGGCCAGAUAGGUCUGAUGUGAAAACUGGAGGCUCAACCUCCAGCUGUCAUCAGAAACCAUUUGGCUAGAGUCCGGAAGAGGAGAGUGGAAUUCCUGGUGUAGCGGUGAAAUGCGCAGAUAUCAGGAAGAACACCUAUGGCAAGGCAGCUCUCUGGGACGUACUGACGCUGAGA
rnacentral:rRNA from 1 species